rnacentral:rRNA from 1 species
UACGUAGGGCGCAAGCGUUAUCCGGAAUUAUUGGGCGUAAAGAGCUCGUAGGCGGUUUGUCGCGUCUGCCGUGAAAGUCCGGGGCUCAACUCCGGAUCUGCGGUGGGUACGGGCAGACUAGAGUGAUGUAGGGGAGACUGGAAUUCCUGGUGUAGCGGUGAAAUGCGCAGAUAUCAGGAGGAACACCGAUGGCGAAGGCAGGUCUCUGGGCAUUAACUGACGCUGAGGAGCGAAAGCAUGGGGAGCGAACAGGG